rnacentral:rRNA from 1 species
CGUGAGGGAGGAAGGUCCUUGGAUUGUAAACCUCUUUUAUCAGGGAAGAAGUUCUGACGGUACCUGAUGAAUAAGCAUCGGCUAACUCCGUGCCAGCAGCCGCGGUAAUACGGAGGAUGCAAGCGUUAUCCGGAAUUAUUGGGCGUAAAGCGUCCGUAGGUGGUUAUGCAAGUCUGCCGUUAAAGAAUGGAGCUUAACUCCAUAGGAGCGGNGGAAACUGCAAGACUAGAGUACAGUAGGGGUAGCAGGAAUUCCCAGUGUA